rnacentral:rRNA from 1 species
CGAAGGGGGCUAGCGUUGUUCGGAAUUACUGGGCGUAAAGCGCGCGCAGGCGGUUCUUCAAGUCAGAGGUGAAAGCCCAGGGCUCAACCCUGGAAUGGCCUUUGAGACUAGAGAACUAGGGUACGGGAGAGGUGAGUGGAAUUCCGAGUGUAGAGGUGAAAUUCGUAGAUAUUCGGAAGAACACCAGUGGCGAAGGCGGCUCACUGGCCCGUUACCGACGCUCAGGCGCGACAGCGUGGGGAGCAAACAGGAUUAGAUACCCUGGUAGUCCACGCCGUAAACGACGGAUGCUAGCCGUUGGUAAGCAUGCUUAUCAGUGGCGCAGCUAACGCAUUAAGCGUCCCGCCUGGGGAGUACGGCCGCAAGGUUG